AAAUGCUCCAAGGGGAAAAUCAGGAAGUGGAAUUUUGGGAUCAGUUUUAUGGCUAUCCCUUUUCCCCAGGAUCAUGGUCUUUCAAUCCUGAUUGCUUCAGUUUUAGAUGAGAAACCCACUGCCAUUCGUUUGGGGUUGCUUUGCAGGAAAAAAGAUGAAGGAAAGAAAAUUAAGGAAAAGAAGAAAACAAGCAAAAAUGCUCAGCAAAGAUGUCAUGGCAUAAUAGUCCAUUAUGCCUCCAAUUGAGCCGUCAUGAACUAUCAAAGAAAUAAUUGCACAAUAGACCAUAAUGGCUUAAUCGUGUCAACAUCUUUGCCAUUUACAUAUUUUUUUAAUCAAUGGAAAUUAAGUACAAAAAUG
ensembl:lncRNA